rnacentral:rRNA from 1 species
ACGGGUGCGUAACGCGUGGGAAUCUGCCCUUAGGUUCGGAAUAACAGCUGGAAACGGCUGCUAAUACCGGAUGAUAUCGCGAGAUCAAAGAUUUAUCGCCUGAGGAUGAGCCCGCGUUGGAUUAGGUAGUUGGUGGGGUAAAGGCCUACCAAGCCGACGAUCCAUAGCUGGUCUGAGAGGAUGAUCAGCCACACUGGGACUGAGACACGGCCCAGACUCCUACGGGAGGCAGCAGUGGGGAAUAUUGGACAAUGGGCGCAAGCCUGAUCCAGCAAUGCCGCGUGAGUGAUGAAGGCCCUAGGGUUGUAAAGCUCUUUUACCCGGGAAGAUAAUGACUGUACCGGGAGAAUAAGCCCCGGCUAACUCCGUGCCUGCAGCCGCGGUAAUACGGAGGGGGCUAGCGUUGUUCGGAAUUACUGGGCGUAAAGCGCACGUAGGCGGCUUUGUAAGUCAGAGGUGAAAGCCUGGAGCUCAACUCCAGAACUGCCUUUGAGACUGCAUCGCUUGAAUCCAGGAGAGGUCAGUGGAAUUCCGAGUGUAGAGGUGAAAUUCGUAGA